AGAAGCAAAACUUUAAGUCUAUUUAAAUCCGCGUUCUAUUAACCUAUCCGAGCUGUUUCGUGCAUUUUUGUCGCUGCUGGAUGCCUGUGUACUUCUCAAGAUUUACUGAUCAAUAAAGAAAGCUAGACGGAUAGAUAGAUAGAUUGAUUGAUUGAUUGAUUGAUUGAUUGAUUGAUAGAGCCUGGAAACACCCACCCAGAAGCAGCUAUGUAAAGUGGCGGGGAUUUCCGAACGAGAGCCCUGGCCAGACCGUGCAGGGAGCGCUAACGACCUGCGGCCAGUGAUGGUAUGCAAACUACUGACCGGCGCGCAACAGUAGCAAUAACGGGAAACGCGUGCAGCCUCCGUUAGGACAAGCCUGGGCGCCGAGGGUCCGGCUCCGCGCUCUCUGACUGCACGUGAAAAGGGCAACGCUGACGCUUUACGUACAUCUAAAUCCUUCUGGCGCUCCUAACCCACAGGUCAUAUCACAUCACAGUACGUUUAAUUUGCCAGUCGCUCCAUUUUCCUCAACCGAACCAGUUCGUAAUAUGUUAAACGACAUUUUAACAAUCUGCAUGGGGCAACUUCAGUUUACUACAAGCAAUAAAAAAGUAAUUUACUAAAAAACCUCGCACACGUAAGAGAUACAAUUUAAAAGCGCCCAGUGGUCGUUAAAGUUCGAAUGGGAAACUAGUCAGUUGAACUUUUUUUGUCUUUAUUAAAUUAAAAUUAAUUUAAACCACAGCCCUAGACACCCGACCAUUCCAAAGCUUAUCCAUUAGUUCAUCUGAAAUUAUUAAUUUCGCCUCCUUGCAGUCUAUUUGACAGCUGGCUUUUAAGCAUGAGUGCGUGUCACGGGACGGUCGCACCCCCGCAGCAGGGCGCCCGGUCCGAGACGGAAAUCUUCGCCUGCCUGCCAGUACCGGGGAGAAGCAGGGUUACCGGCAGACCGAUACUGCUGAAAGUCAAACUUCACCAAUUUACAAAUUUCACGCAUAGAUAUUUGAAGCUUAGGAUUCGAAUCAAUUCCAGGUUCACUAGGCCUAUCAAAUCCUUUCACGUUGCUUUUGAGCUUUAAUAAUAUUUUCCACAUUUAUAGGAUAUUCUUAGAGUAGGACCAUUGAUGUAUUACAAAUGCAAUAACGUGGAAUUAAACUAGGCCUGUACUUCCACCGUAGUCGAAAAAUGCCAAGGGUCUGGUUUAAACUGAAAACUACACUGUAAAACAUUUAAUGUCAGCUUUCCGGUCAGUACCACGCAUGCCACCAUUUUAUAAAUUCAUUAGAAGAAUUUUUACGCAUAUGACGCCAUUAGCCGGGUUGAACCGUUCUUAUAGUUAACACCAAAAAUAAAGGUACAUUUUAUUUUCUAGUAAGGCACAUAGCCAUUGUAAAGACACUUGCAGCUGGACAAAUUCCAUAGGAAAAGCUUACGGUUACGUGCGCACUUUAGUAAACUUAUAUUCCCAGUAAGACCAGUGCAUUUAGUUGCAGGACGUAUUCAGCUCGAUCAAGUACAGAUGUGAGCAUUAUACUACUCAGAUUUCAAAAGAUUUAUAGAAGAAUAAGACGUGCACCAAUGCGGCAUAUUUAUGUGCUAACUUACAGUCGUUUGUUCCCGAUGCUGCACAUUUAAAGAAAUUUAAACAGUUAAAUAGCCUUUUAGGUUUUAAAUGUACAGUAGGCCUAUACGUUUUGACGAUAGAAGAAGGGCGGAUCGUGACCUGGUGGACUAGCCACUGCUGCUUCGGUCUCUUUUUAUUUACAGUAUUUAGUAUCAAGUUUAAUUUAAUUGUUAUUUAAAUAACGGGUAAAGUUUAAAUAUUAUAAUUGAAAUAAGUAGGCCUAGCCCAUGUAAUCACAGGCUUAACGCGUAAUGCAUGUUAGCCUAUAUAAUCUCUCUAAAUAUUUAAGCUAUAAUGGGUGAACAGAUAAGGCUACGGUUAGUCAAAUUAAUUGUACACAUUUUUCUCUGUAGAGAGAACUGGUGAAAUUAUGAUGGGCAAAAAAGCUGCACUAGCUGGUGUCUAGUUUUUUUUUUUUUACCGUUUGGUCGAGUUGUAAGGCUGGGUUUGAGUGAGAAAAGAUAAAGACGGCGCUAAUGGAGUUGCCGAAACAGCAGUCAUAACAACUCAACUUCAAGUGAACGAUGUAACGCCAGUAAAAGAAAAGGGCCGCGUCUUCUUCACAAGAAUGGGCAGCUGUCAUCAUAUACGGACGCUCCAAGAAGUCUAGUGCCGGCUGCGGAAAACAGCCCCCUGCGUUCAUCGCUAUAUUUGAAGAAUUACCCAGAUAGAUUACUCAAGGAAAUCGAAUAAGCAAGAGAUCCACUCAGUUAAAGGAUCAAGCGUUAUGUUUUCUGACAGUUGAUUUAUUAUUCUGUCUUCUAGAUUCUUCAUUUAUACCAAAAAAUAAUACAUCAUUUUAGUCACUUUACGAGCAGUUGUUACUUCAGUUACCUUAUUCAAAUUAUUUAAAAAUCUUUUUUGGUACAGUGGUAAUCUUUAAUGCUAAAUGUGUAUACACAGCAUUCAGUCUUGUGCACAAAAUUGCAUGUAUAAAGCGUUGAUGUUGCACCAAAACCAGCUGAAAUAAACUGGCCCCUCGAAUGCGCGUUUCCACCUUCUGCUGCACCUCCUUCCUAAGUAGGUUACGCUUCUACUCUGAGGAAAUCAAAUUUGCGGGUUAACUGUGUCCUUCAGGCUGGCCGCCGGCCGCAGACCGCGAGCCCGUCCAGAUAAGGCCACUGCAUCUUCGCCGUUACUGCGCAGUCACGACUCCCUCAAAACUACUCCAUUCUGAAAAUUCUCAACAAACCAACCCCGGGCAGAGAGUGAAAAAUGGAUCUCCUCGGAAAGCGCUAGAAUGACUGCAGGAGGCUGGAUUCAGAGCAUGAGCAGUGUCUUCUGGAUGCUUAUCCUGGAACCACUGGAGUGCCUGCCAGUCUGGCGCUGGCCGUUUCCCCGCAUGACCUCAGUAAACAGGAGCGCUGACAAUGGGCACCAUGCCGCGGCCUGCCUGCCUCGCCUUGCCGCGCCGCGCUCUGUGAGUAACCCCGCCACGGCCGCCGCCGCAGGGAAGACAUCCUGGCGAGCAGAGCGGAGCCGGAAAGACGGCGGCCAUCUCGGUUCAGCAGGUCCGCCGUCAGGGCUUAGAAUGACGUGUUCCCAU